GGCAGGUUGGGCUCGUGAGCCGUCAUAGGCAAUACACCUAGGAGAGCAAACUCCGAAUAAAAACCCGGGCAGGUUGGGCUCGUGAGCCGUCAUAGGCAAUACACCUAGGAGAGCAAACUCCGAAUAAAGAAACCCGGGCAGGUGGAGCUCGUUAGCCAUGGUAGGCAAUCUGCCUAGGAGAGGGACAACUCCGAAUAAAAAACCCGGGCAGGUGGAGGUCGUUAGCCGUGGUAGGCAGUUCACCUAGGAGAAGGAAAACUCCGAAUUCAAACCAACACACACACACACACACAGCCGGGCAGGUGGGGCUCGUUAUAGGCGUCGUAGACAAUCCACCAAGGGGAAUCAACAAUAAAAGGAUAAUAAAAGCGAACGCACGAGAAGAAUAUGAAAUUAGAACCGGACAAAAAAGGAUAAUAUAAGAUGGAACACCGAAUAAAGGAUAGUUAAGA